rnacentral:rRNA from 1 species
CCUACGGGAGGCUGCAGUGAGGAAUAUUGGUCAAUGGGCGGGAGCCUGAACCAGCCAAGUCGCGUGAAGGAAGAAGGUACUUAGUAUUGUAAACUUCUUUUGUCGGGGAACAAAGGCGGAGACGCGUCGCCGGAUGAGUGUACCCGAAGAAAAAGCAUCGGCUAACUCGGUGCCAGCAGCCGCGGUAAUACGGGGGAUGCGAGCGUUAUCCGGAUUUAUUGGGUUGACAGGGUGCGCAGGCGGGAGAUCAAGUCAGCGGUAAACUGUAGGGGCUCAACCCCGGCCGGCCGUUGAAACUGGUUUUCUAGAGUGUGAGAGAGGUAUGCGGAAUUCGUGGUGUAGCGGUGAAAUGCUUAGAUAUCACGAAGAACUCCGAUUGCGAAGGCAGCAUACCGGCGGCGAUCUGACGCUGAGGCACGAAAGCGUGGGUAUCGAACAGGAUUAGAUACCCCAGUAGUC